rnacentral:snRNA from 1 species
GUAUUUUUAACAUUAUCUUAAUAAAAUUCUUAAAUCUGUUCUUAUCAGUUUAAUAUCUGAUACGUCUUCUAUCAGAGGACUAUAUAUUAAAUGGAUUUUUGGAAUAGGGAGAUGGAAUAGGAGCUUGCUCCAUCCACUCCACGCAUUGACCUGGUAUUGCAGUACCUCCAGGAAGGGUGCACCUCCC